rnacentral:rRNA from 1 species
GACGAACGCUGGCGGCGCGCUUAACACAUGCAAGUCGAACGGAAAGGCCUGCUUUCCCUUGUGGAUUGCGGGUACUCGAGUGGCGAACGGGUGAGUAACACGUGAGUGAUCUGCCCCCAACUUGGGUAUAAGCCUGGGAAACUGGGUCUAAUUCCCGAUAGGACUGCAGGGUGGUGCCUGUGGUGGAAAACGAUUUUCUAGUGGUUGGGGAUGAGCUCGCGGCCUAUCAGCUUGUUGGUGGGGUAAUGGCCUACCAAGGCGGCGACGGGUAGCCGACCUGAGAGGGUGGACGGCCACAGUGGGACUGAGAUACGGCCCAGACUCCUACGGGAGGCAGCAGUGGGGAAUAUUGCACAAUGGGCGGAAGCCUGAUGCAGCGACGCCGCGUGGGGGAUGACGGCCUUCGGGUUGUAAACUCCUUUCGACCGCGAGGAAGCCACCUGGUUGGAAGGGUGGUGACGGUAGUGGUAGAAGAAGCACCGGCUAACUACGUG